UACCCUUGACAUGUCUGGAAUCCCGAAGAGAUUUGGGAGUGCUCGCAAGAGAACCGGAACACAGGUGCUGCAUGGCUGUCGUCAGCUCGUGUCGUGAGAUGUUGGGUUAAGUCCCGCAACGAGCGCAACCCUUGUCAUUAGUUGCUACGAAAGGGCACUCUAAUGAGACUGCCGGUGACAAACCGGAGGAAGGUGGGGAUGACGUCAAGUCCUCAUGGCCCUUAUGGGUAGGGCUUCACACGUCAUACAAUGGUCGGGACAGAGGGUUGCCAAGCCGCGAGGUGGAGCCAAUCCCAGAAACCCGAUCGUAGUCCGGAUUGCAGUCUGCAACUCGACUGCAUGAAGUCGGAAUCGCUAGUAAUCGCGGAUCAGAAUGUCGCGGUGAAUACGUUCCCGGGUCUUGUACACACCGCCCGUCACACCAUGGGAGUGGGUUUCACCAGAAGUAGGUAGCCUAACCGUAAGGGGGGCGCUUACCACGGUGGGAUUCAUGACUGGGGUGAAGUCGUAACAAGGUAAGCGUAGUGCU
rnacentral:rRNA from 1 species